CAAAAAGGUAUUUCAAGAAAUCCCACAGCUGGAAUGCGGUAUUAAAAUAUCUGUUAUUCCUAUCGGUGACAGAGUGAAAGUUACCGCUAACUGUGGUUUGUUUCCUGUAUUCACAGUGGGGGAAAAUGCUUAAUUUCAGCAGUAUAUUAACAAAAAUAGUUAUUUUUUUUUCUUUCAAGUUGAAGGACCAGUGAAUUCCAGUCAGAGACCCUUCUCCAUUUAAUAUAGAAUGAAAACUCCUGGACUGGAUACUGAAACAGGCUAUUCCUCAGACUCCAAACAAGAUUACAUCAGUUCAGCCUCUUCAAAAAUGCCUUCACUUGCUACUAAUGAGAAGCCAACUCAGGCACAGUUCAAGGUCACACCUAGGGGAAAGGAAAAAGAAAUAAUAUAGAAAGAAGAAUGAGGAGAGAAAAAUGGAAAAUGAAGAAAUACCAUGUAUAGCAUGUUAGUGGAAAGGAUAUCAACAACCAACCCUUGUUAACAUUUAGGUGCCAAGAGGUGUCUACUCAGGGAAGCCCCAAUAUGAUGAAUAAGUUAGAAAAUACUAGUUAGAAAACUUCAGUUCUACUUGGAAUUCUCCCACUGUCAAAUAGAACUGUUUAUUUCCUCCAUCAGACUUUAAUAAUUAUCAUUUUAAGCCACUUUCCAAAAUGGUAGUGCUCCAAUCAAGACUGACCAGAGCUAAAGACUGUGUCUCAUUUAUACCUCCUAGAAUUACCCUUCUUUAAAAAAAUAAAGUGCCAUCUGGCUGACAUGCAAUAGCUUAUAAUCAACUUACUCCAAGAUCUUACUGCAUGCCUGCUGUAUCAUUUUUGCAACAUUGUUCUCUUGAAGAUUAUCCUAGCUGGUCCAUCUACUUUCCUUCAAUUCUCAAAUUCAUCCAACUGUUUUAAAACAGGAAGAGUGUUUCUCCAUCUUAGUGACAACAGUGUUUUAAACAGCAAUCACUACCAUUUAUGGAGCUGUUACUAUGUAUUGGGGCUUCCCCGGUGGCUGAGACAGUAAAGAAUCUGCCUGCAAUUGAGGAGAACUGGUUCAAUCCCUGAGUCAGGAAGGUCCCCUGGAGAAGGAAAUGGCUACCCACUCCAGUAUGGUUGCCUGGAGAACUCCAUGGACAGAGAAGCCUGGCAGGCUACAGCCCACGGGAUUGAAGAGUCAGACAUGACUGAAUGACUACUGUGUGUUGAGUGCUUUAUAUAUGCUGUGGCUGAUCCUCACAUGAAAACUUAAAGACUGGUAACAUUCCAUUUUAUUGAGGAAACAAAGCUCAGAGAGGUUAAAACAUUUGCUCAAAGCCACACAGGUGAACUAAGACUCAAACACAGGUGUGAGCUACUUCAUCAAGCUCCUUUUUGGUUGAAGUCCUAGUGUUGGCAGACUCGUCAUUUGUAGAGAUGAAUCUUUUACCAGUCAAACAUACACACACACCAUCAUUUGGCUUCCUUGGUGGUUCAGCAGUUAAGAAUCCACCUGUCACUGCAAGGGACACAGGUUCAAUACCUGGCCUGGGAAGAUUCCACAUGCCACAGAGUGGCUAACGCCCAUGUACCACAACUACUUAGCCCAUGCUCUAGAGCCUGUGCUCUGCAACAGGAGAAGCCACUGCAAUGUGAAGCCUGAGCACUGCAACUAAGCAACCCCUGCUCGCUGCAACCAGAGAAAGCCCACUCCUGGUUCUCACUCACACAACCAAAACAAAAGAACCAUCAUUGUCAACAUGAUGAAUUUGUUGUUGUUAUUUAGCAGCUAAGUCGUAUCCGACUCUUUUGUGACCCCAUGGACUGUAGCCUGACAGGAUCCUCUGUCCAUAGGACUUCUCAGGCAAGAAUGUUAGGUUGCCAUUUCCUUCUCUAAGUGAUCUUCCCAACCCAGGGGUUGAACCCACAUCUCUUGCAUUGUAGAUAGAUUCUUUACCACUGGGAGUCAUCAGGGAAGCUCCAAUAUGAUGAAUAAGUUAGAAAAUACUAUUUAGAGCCCAAAGCAAACUGUGAUAUAAGAUAAUGAGAACAUUUUCCUAUGUCCUUUGCAGAUUGGCUUCUCAAUGCAAUAUGAACAUGUUCUGAGAAGCAACAGUAUUAAAGAACAAAAUUGUGGCCUCACAAAAUGUCAAGAUUGAAGAGCAACAGUCAUUUGAGUAGCUUUGUUAGAAAAUUUCCCAUAGAGGUUAUACCUAUAUAGACUUCACAACACUAGUUAACGCUCACAACAAUAUAUGAGGCAAAUAGCAAAAGGUAUCAUUUCCCUUUUGCAAAUGAAGAAACUAAUUCCCAGGUGAGAGCUGAGGCUCAAACUAUGAUGUAAGUCCAAAUUACAGUCUUAUAAUCAUGCUACACAGCUAGAGCAUAAUUGGUCUGAUUCAUUGAAUCACAACCAAUAAAGUUAAACCUUCACCUUUCUAAGACUUCAUAUUUCCAAACUUGUUGUUGGUAGUCUGUGAUUUUUUUUUUUCUUUUGGUAAUAUUUCAUGGCUUGUGGGAUCUUAGUUCCCAGACCAAGGAUUGAACACGGAGGCAGUGAAAGCAUGGAAUCCAUACUAUUGGACCACCGGGAAUUCCUGGUAGUCUCUGAUUUUUAAAUUCUUUUUUGUACUUUUUUUUCCUCAUGAUUUAUCUGCUUUCCUGGAGUUUUGUUGAGGGAACAUAGAAAAAGUGAAAAGGAAAAAUAGCAAAAUGAGCUCUCCUUUCCAGCCUUACAUUCCCUCAAUCAAACUCAAGAUAGCAAGAAUCCAAUUUCAAGGCCAAUUAGGAUUGCUGGGUCCAAUUUAAGAGUGAUGAACACUUAGUCUUUGGAGGAACUUAACGUAUUUGUUCUGCUUGGCCACAGCAGAAUUCCCUGGAGAGUCACCACCAGGAGCUUGGUGCAUCUUUGCGCUGACUCUGAACUCUGCAACUGGUAAAGAGACUGGCACUGGCGGUGGUAGCAGCUUCCACCUAAAUUCAAGAAAUCAAAUUCUAGGAGACUGUUGAAUGUAACAUUUGGUCCAUUGACUUCUGAUUAUUUUAAGGCUUCCCUAUGAGCAGACAGAAGAGUUAUAUGUGGCAAAUCUUCUAGGAAGUGUUACUAUAAGCUUUUAACUGAAAUCCAGUAGAAUCCCAAGUAUUAUUACCCAUAUUCCAAUAAGUAAGUUAAAUAUACUGUUACACAAAUCAAAUUCAACAGGGAUUAUAAGUCCUGCUCCCUAGGUAUAACUUUUAAGAGUGUAAUAAAAUAGUAAGAAUUGAUUAUAAAUAGACAAUAUGUGUAUGGCUCAAGUUUCAUUACCCUUAAGUUAAAAUAUCCAUUAGAGGGACUUCUCUGGAGGUCCAGCGGUUAAGCCUCCAAGCUCCCAGUGGAGGGGGGCUUGAGUUCAGUCCCUGCUGGGGGAACUAAGAUCCUACAGGCCACAUGGCACAGCCAAAAAAUUUAAAAAGAAAAAUAGGAAAAAAUAUCCAUUACAAUAAGGGGGAAAGUGCUCCGAAAUUAUCAUUAAUACUAACAAUAAUAUGACAUGGUANNNNNNNNNNNNNNNNNNNNNNNNNNNNNNNNNNNNNNNNNNNNNNNNNNNNNNNNNNNNNNNNNNNNNNNNNNNNNNNNNNNNNNNNNNNNNNNNNNNCUGAAAUUAUCAUUAAUACUAACAAUAAUAUGACAUGGUAUGUUUGCAUAAAGUUUUUCCAUUUACAAAGAGUUUCAAAUAGAGUAUCUCUCUAGAUAUCUACUACAUUUGAACAUCUUGAAAUGUAUGGCCUUUGCCCUGGGUCGCUCCUCUCCUGAUUCUCUGUGGGUUCUGUAAUAGUCCCCUCCUCUGCCCAUCAUUACAUUUGGGUGCUCCCAGGAUUCCAUCUUUGAUGCUGUUCUCACACUCUUAUCAGGGCCACCCCAGUCACGUGCAUGGUUUUCGCUAUUCAUUUCCAUACUCACUAUUCUCAUUUUUUUUUAUUUUAAAAAAUUUAUUUAUUUUUGGCUGUGCUGAGUCUUUGUUGCUGCGCUCAGACUUUCUCUAGCUGUGACGAGCUUGGGCUACUCUCUAGUUUUGGUACAUGGGUUUCUAAUUGCGGUGGCUUCUCUUGUUGUGGAGUAUGGGCUCUAGAGCAGGAGCUCAGUAGUUGUGGUACAC
rnacentral:lncRNA from 1 species